UUACGGUCAUAUCACGUUGAAACACCAGUUCUCGUACGAUCACCGAAGUUAAGCAACAUCGAGCCUGGUCAGUACCUAGAUGGGUUAUCGCUUGCUAAUACCAGCCGCUGUA
rnacentral:rRNA from 1 species